CUGCAGAUGUUCCUCUGAUUGUUGGUGGGACUCUGGUCAUCACGGUUGUCCUGUUCUCUGCAGCGCUGCUGGUUUCCUGCAGGAGAAGAUCUCUGAGAGCUGCUCUUAAAAACCCAGGAGCUGUUGCUCAAUCUACAGACGAGAACAGAGGAUGUUCAUCUGCUUCAAACCUUGAGAAAGCCACCAAUGUUAACUACACCAAUGAGGACCCAAUCUACCAGAACCUCAGUGCUGCCACCAGAGACCAGAACCAGAUCUACUUUAUCAUCCAAAAAUGAAAAUAAGAUCCUGGAUUCAGUUUCUGAGCCUCACAAUUCAAGGUACAUAGCCAUGUUAUAUGCUUAUAUAAAACACCAAAAAAUAUGAUGAUCACGUUAAAAUAAAGUCAUAUACAUCAAGCCUUCAUUCUGAUAAUGUUUUGAUGGUCUUUUUUGAGGCUAAAUAGAAUCCAGCGCUGGGCGCUGUUAGCAGAUAUAAACAGACGUGGCG